GAUGACCGAAACCCCUUUUCCCUUUUUAUGCAAUGAUUUCUCUGAAACCCUAUAACUCUUCAACUUCUCUAAAAUCAUCCAUUUUCUCAACUUAUCACUACUUCUUCCUUUAACUCUGCAGAUUCAGAUGGUCGACGUCUGACGGAAGCUUGUUGAAGUGAGAAAAGACAAUCUUACAGAUUGAAAGGAAGGCAGUUUACUUGGUAUAGACUAGUGCUUUCAGAUCACAAUUGUGACAUGGCUGCAAAACCAAUUGACGAUACCAUAUGGAGGGGUAGUUUCAUGAUCUCCCGUCCAGAGAUGAGAUUGAAUCUUACAGCCCAUCUAUCAAGUAAAGCGUGCGCAAAAGUAUGGCUGGCAGCUAAAGAGAUGGCGGAGGUGAUCUAUCCUGAAUUCCUUCCUAAGCGUGAUGUGUGGCCAAAGAGUUUUAAAAGUGCUAAACUGAUUGAUGAUAAUAUUGCCAUUUAUUUCUUUUCAGUUAAAGGCAGAGAUGAUCAAGUUUUUGAAAAUCUGCUGUAUAAUUUAAGACACUACGACAUUGCAUUAAGAGCUUUGGUUGGUGAUUCUGAACUCCUGAUUUUUACUUCUGCCCAUCUGCCAGAAAAGCAUCACAGAUUUGAGGGUAAAGUAUAUCUAUGGGGCGUCUUUAGUGGAAGACAAGCUCCUCCUCAAGAGUCUCCUGAUGAUUGUUUUAUUCAUAAUACCCGAGUGACACAAGCUUCAAUCCCAAAUUCAGCAAACGAUGGGAAGGAUAGAAGUUGCAAGGAAUUCUCCAAUAGGAAAGAUCCUUCAACUGCCUCAAAAUCAGCUAGAAAGGGAAGACCACUUGAUGACGCUUGGCAACAUGCUACUCCAGUAGAUGGAAAGAAGCAGAGGACAGUUUGCAAUUACUGCGGAUUUAUCUCUUCCUCUGGAGGCAUUACUUAUCUUAAGACACAUCUGGGUGGAGGUGAUCCGACGGGUUCACUGAAGGGUUGUCCAAAUGUACCACCAGAAGUCAAAAGGGUGAUGAAAGAAUGGUUACUAGGAACUAUAAGAGGGGGGAAGGCCCCACAGCUACAGGAAAUCAGGACUGACUUUGAAGUACCUGCAUCCAAAAAAUCAGUUAGAAGGGGAAGGCCACUUGAUGCUGCCUGGGAUUAUGCUACACCAGUUGAUGCAAAAAGACAGAGAGCAGUGUGCAAGUAUUGCGGUUUCAUAUCUUCUUCUGGAGGAAUUACACAUCUUAAGGCACAUUUGGCUGGAGGUGAUCCAAAAGGGCCCUCAAAAGGUUGUCCCAAUGUGCCGCCUGAAGUUAAAAGGGCAAUGGCAGAAUCGCUCAACAGAACAGUGAAAGGAGCGAAAUCCAUGCAGCCAGAUGAGAUCAGGAGGUACAUGAAAGCGGAAAAUGAUUGGUCUCCUCCCAGGUCAGAUGACUACUCGUUGAAUCAACAUAGAAUUGUCAAGAAUGCUCAGUACUCACAUUUUGCCAAUGGGAAUUCUGUUAAUGAUAUGACCCUGUCAAAGCAAUCAGAGACUGCACAUGUUGAUAGUUAUAUGGAGGUUAUGAGUUCUCACAAUGCUUGUAAGUCGAGCUUCUUAAGCAAACCUUCAACUCGAGUAG
rnacentral:misc_RNA from 1 species